GCUCAGAUUGAACGCUGGCGGCAGGCCUAACACAUGCAAGUCGAACGGUAAUAGGAAGAAGCCUUGCUUUGCUGACGAGUGGCGGACGGUGAGUAAUGUCUGGAAACUGCCUGAUGGAGGGGAUAACUACUGGAAACGGUAGCUAAUACCGCAUAACGUCGCAAGACCAAAGAGGGACCUUCGGGCCUCUUGCCAUCGGAUGUGCCCAGAUGGGAUUAGCUAGUAGGUGGGGUAACGGCUCACCUAGGCGACGAUCCCUAGCUGGUCUGAGAGGAUGACCAGCCACUGAACUGAGACACGGUCUAGACUCUACGGAGGCAGCAGUGGGGAAUAUUNNGCACAAUGGGCGCAAGCCUGAUGCAGCCAUGCCGCGUGUAUGAAGAAGGCCUUCGGGUUGUAAAGUACUUUCAGCGGGAGGAAGGAGUAAAGUACCUUUGCUCAUGACGUUACCCGCAGAAGCACCGGCUAACUCCGUGCCAGCAGCCGCGGUAAUACGGAGGUGCAAGCGUUAAUCGGAAUUACUGGGCGUAAAGCGCACGCAGGCGGUUUGUUAAGUCAGAUGUGAAAUCCCGGGCUCAACCUGGGAACUGCAUCUGAUACUGGCAAGCUUGAGUCUCGUAGAGGGGUAGAAUUCCAGGUGUAGCGGUGAAAUGCGUAGAGAUCUGGAGGAAUACCGGUGGCGAAGGCGGCCCCUGGACGAAGACUGACGCUCAGGUGCGAAAGCGUGGGGAGCAAACAGGAUUAGAUACCCUGGUAGUCCACGCCGUAAACGAUGUCGACUUNGGAGGUUGUGCCCUUGAGGCGUGGCUUCCGGAGCUAACGCGUUAAGUCGACCGCCUGGGAGUACGGCCGCAAGGUUAAAACUCAAAUGAAUUGACGGGGCCCACAAGCGGUGGAGCAUGUGGUUUAAUUCGAUGCAACGCGAAGAACCUACCUGUCUUGACAUCCACAGAACUUUCCAGAGAUGGAUUGGUGCCUUCGAACUGUGAGACAGGUGCUGCAUGGCUGUCGUCAGCUCGUGUUGUGAAAUGUUGUUAANUCGCAACAACCUUAUCUUUGCCNGAACUCAAAGGAACUGGAGGAAGGUGGGGAUGACGUCAAGUCAUCAUGGCCCUACGAUCAGGGCUACACGUGCUACAAUGGCGCAUACAAAGAGAAGCGACCUCGCAAGAGCAAGCGGACCUCAUAAAGUGCGUCGUAGUCCGGAUUGAGUNGCAACUCGACUCCAUGAAGUCGGAAUCUANUAAUCGUGGAUCAGAAUGCCACGGUGAAUACGUUCCGGCCUUGUACACACCGCCCGUCACACCAUGGGAGUGGGUUGCAAAGAAGUAGGUAGCUUAGCCUUCGGAGGGCGCUUACCACUUUGUGAUUCAUGACUGUGAAGUCGUAACAAGGUGACCGUAGGGCUGCGGUUG
rnacentral:rRNA from 1 species